UUACGAUAUCUCUGGUUUCUAACUUCAAAAGCAUCCGGUGCAUUAUCAACAUAAAAUGGUCACGUUCCUUGAAUGUCUUCCAAAUGUAGACCGACAAAAAUAAAAGAAUUCAACUAUUAGACCACUUUACCCAUUUGGACCGAAAUUUGUAUAGUAUAUCAGACACCGGCAGCUUCAUGACUGAAGCCGAAUGCCACAACAACUUGUGGUUAAGCUCAUUGACAGUCGCUCAUGUAAAAAGCAAUAAACAAAUUCACAUGCAUACAUAUGGCGUAUUCCGAGAAGAUAAACACACAACAGCCAUUUCCAGUGUAUUGGCUUGAUAAAAUCUGAGUGUUGCUGGCAAGGCGGUGGCGACGCCCGAAGUUGAUAUUAUUGUACUCUUCGAUUGUUGCUGUAAAUAGCUUCCCAUUGAGUCACAAUUCACAGUAGCCACGUAACGUCAUCAUGUCAGAGCUUUUCCCGCAACAAGGUGAAAUAGCUAAAUGUUUCUUGAAAUAUUGUCGUAUGCACAUAGUUACGCCAGCGAAAGCAACAGGAUGAAUAUAUUUAUACUACAUUCUAAAAUCCUGCGAUAAUUUUAAUCAGAUGCCUUUGAAUUUCAUAAUGAGCGAUACAUAAACAUUUUACAAUGAAAACAUAAACAGAGCAACUGAAACAGUUCAAAAUACAUCUCCCUUAACUUUAACGGGUCCUCGUAAAUGCUGUAGAAAUAGGCAAGAACACAGCCCAACAAAGGGGGGAAGAGGUUCACUCAACAGUUUU